ensembl:lncRNA
UAUACUGCUCCUACAUGGUGUAACAAUACAUCAUAUAGAUGUAUAUAAUGACCAGACUAGGUCUAUACUGCUCCUACAUGGUGUAACAAUACAUCAUAUAGAUGUAUAUAAUGAACAGACUAGGUCUAUACUGCUCCUACAUGGUGUAACAAUACAUCAUGUAGAUGUAUAUAAUGACCAGACUAGGUCUAUACUGCUCCUACAUGGUGUAACAUCAUGUAGAUGUAUAUAAUGAACAGACUAGGUCUAUACUGCUCCUACAUGGUGUAACAUCAUGUAGAUGUAUAUAAUGACCAGACUAGGUCUAUACU